rnacentral:ncRNA from 1 species
AAAGACUUUAAAAAUGAAAAAAAAAAAUCUUUCUAAAAAAUACAACAUGCUAGGCUGAGGAGCCAAUGGGGCCAAGCUACCAACUGUGGGAUUAUGACUGAAUGCCUCUAAAUCAGAAUUGCGCCCAGGCCCCUGGAGCCUCGGUUGGCCUCAGAUAGCCUGUCCCCAGCCAUCCUCGCUGCCCCUGUCCAGGGUCUGGCGUGGAGAGCCCUUCGUCCUGGGACACUGGGCAUGGCAGGAAAGGCGUCCGCCCCCUUGCCUGUCACACACCGCACAUUCGUGGGGAACCUGGUGCUAAACCGUUAGUAGAUGACCUGCUUCUGGGUCGGGGUUUAGUAGGUAGCAGAGCAGCUCCCUCACUGCCAUCUAUUGAAAGUCAGCCCUCGGACACAAGGGUUU